CGCCCAACAGCUAGCCUAAAACCACAUAAACAACCACCAACUGUAAAUACCCCUUCAAAACCUAAACACCCCACAAUUAAACCAUUCUCCCACCCCAGUACGGGCGACAGAACAGGAACUAAAAGAGCAAUAGAAAAAGUACCGUAAGGGAACACUGAAAGAGAAAUGAAACAACUCAGUUAAGCCCAAAGAAGCAGAGCUCAAUACUCGUACCUUUUGCAUCAUGAUUUAGCCAGCACCCUUCAAACAAAGAGCCCUAUAGUUUGACACCCCGAAACUAGACGAGCUACUCCAAGACAGCCCGCUUAAUGGGGCAAACCCGUUUCUGUGGCAAAAGAAUGGGAAGAGCUUCGAGUAGAGGUGACAAACCUACCGAGUCUAGUUAUAGCUGGUUACCCAGGAAACGAAUAGAAGUUCAGCCUCCCAGAUUCUUCCCUCAGACACACCAAAAUGCACCCGACACUGAGAAACCUGCGAGAGUAAUUCAAAGGGGGUACAGCCCCUUUGACCCAAGACACAACUUUUUUAGGAGGAUAAAGAUCAUAACAUCUAAGGUACUAUAUUUCGGUGGGCCUAAAAGCAGCCACCCGUAUAAAAAGCGUUAAAGCUCAAAUAUAAUUGAACCCACAUAUCCCGACAACCUUAUCUAAAUCCCCUACUCCCCCUACUGGGUCCCCCCAUACACCGACCUAUGAGGAAGACUAUGCUAAUAUGAGUAAUAAGAGAAUUUCCUCUCCUUGCACAAGUGUACAUCGGAACGGACCCCCCACCGACCCCUACCCGGCCCCAACCCCAGAGGGCACUGAAUAAGAAUUAGACAACAAGAAAACCAUUCAAGACAAAGCCGUUAACCCCACACUGGAGUGCCCACAAGGACAGACCAAAGGGGGAAGGAGGAACUCAGCAAACACAAGCCUCGCCUGUUUACCAAAAACACCGCCUCUUGCAAAUUUAAAGAAUAAGAGGUCCCGCCUGCCCUGUGACAUACGUUUAACGGCCGCAGUAUUUUGACCGUGCAAAGGUAGCGCAAUCAUUUGUCUCUUAAAUGGGGACCUGUAUGAAUGGCACAACGAGGGCUUAACUGUCUCCUUCCCCCGGUCAAUGAAAUUGAUCUUCCCGUGCAGAAGCGGGAAUUAAAACAUAAGACGAGAAGACCCUAUGGAGCUUUAGAUACUAAAACAGACCAUGUUAAAAACCCCUAAAUAAAGGAAUAAACUAAAUGGACCCCGUUCUAAUGUCUUUGGUUGGGGCGACCGCGGGGAAAUACAAAACCCCCAUGUGGAAUGGGAACACCCCCCUCCUAAAACCAAGAGCAACAGCUCUAAGUAACAGAACAUCUGACCUAUCAGAUCCGGCAAAGCCGAUCAACGGACCGAGUUACCCUAGGGAUAACAGCGCAAUCCCCUUCGAGAGCCCAUAUCAACAAGGGGGUUUACGACCUCGAUGUUGGAUCAGGACAUCCUAAUGGUGCAGCCGCUAUUAAGGGUUCGUUUGUUCAACGAUUAAAGUCCUACGUGAUCUGAGUUCAGACCGGAGUAAUCCAGGUCAGUUUCUAUCUAUGAAGUGACCUUUUCUAGUACGAAAGGACCGAAAAGGAGAGGCCCAUACUAAAGGUACGCCUCCACCCCCACCUGCUGAAAACAACUAAAAUUGGCAAAGGGCACACCCUUUCAGCCUAAGAAAAUGGCAU
rnacentral:rRNA from 1 species